GAAAGGCUAUUGAUUGCUGAGUUGGGAAUUUCAGCCAGUGAAUUCAUGUUUGAAGAAACGAGGACCUACGUUAAACAAAGAGAAGCCUUUAGGAAAACAGUUGCACAUAUACAGAAGGAAGAUACAGCCAGCUGACCAUAGCUGGGCCUUGAACCUGCAGUGCGGUGUAUUUUGGGAGGUUACUCAAGGUGGAAAGCCAGUAUUUCAAAUACAAGCCAGUUUCCUGAAGGAGGUUCAAGAAUUGGUACCAAAGAGACCAGAUGUAAACCCAGAAUUCAAGGUGUGAGAGCCAAGAGUCAGGAAUGCAAGAAAAUUUGAUUGAAGUGAGAACAGUCGAGAACAGUUGAAGAUGGUCCAGAUAGAAUGAUGUCCAAGAAUACUAUUGAUUGUCCGUGGCCAGCAGGAGGAGAUGGUGCAGCAUAAGCCAGCGGAGUUAAAAACUCAAAUUCGUGUAACCAGAGCUUUUGUGGACAGCUGUCUCCAGCUGCAUGAAGCGGGCCGUCUGGACUCCGCCGCUGCUUCCAUGGCGAAAUACUGCCUCAACAAGAACCCAGCCAGAAAUAUAGUUGAUGAGGAAAGUAUUCAUUGUGUGAAAACUCUCCUGAGAUUUAUUUCGGAGGGGAUUUAUCAUCUAUAUCUCAUGCAGUGCCAAGUGCUCAAGAAACGAUGA
rnacentral:lncRNA from 1 species